CCAAAUUCUGGUUUAGGUGGACUUUUCAAGAUUUUUUUCUGAUUUACUGUGGACAUUCUGUUUUGGUGGACCCAAAAAGUCCACGUAAAAAUAAACGCACAGAACACCUUUUAGCUGGACGUAAACGUAUCCGAAAGAACAAGUCUGUUUCGGUGGACUCAAAAAUUGUCCACCUUAGGCGCCAUCUAUCUCUAAACUAAAAAAUUUGAUGGUUCGUAGUUCCAAUAUCUGCCACAGACGGCGCUACCAUCGGCUGGCUCUGUGUUGAAGCUCGGCUGCGCACGCCUUGAUCAGCGCGGGCUAGCGCGGGCAUGCAGCAAAAACAAACCCGUGAAUUAGAGUAUGAUGAAGUUUUGUGUAGUUGCAACAACACUGUUUUUUGUUGCGGUGUUAUCGGCGCGGCACGGCUCACCACGUGGCGGUGUCGGUGUUGGGAUUUGGAAGAGAUAAAGCUUUGGGUGGUACUAUUUUGUGUUUUUUUUUGUGCUGGGAGCCUUUUGAAGUCUGUGAGGAGCGUCAAAUGCAGUCGGCGCUACGGCUGGCCGUGUCAGCGACCCACCGGCUCGGCCACGGCCAACAGGCAGCCGGCUCCGACGUCAAGUAGGCGCUACGGUUCCUGACGCCAGCAGGAGCACUUGACCAGCAGCUCACCGCCACCGCACAGGACCUGGCACAGCUCGGCACAGGCAUGCACAUUGACCCAGCAGUGGUGCAAGAAUGCGAAUGGCACGUCAGUCACCAGAUCUGCAGUGAUGUCGCCCGGCUCUGACGAUGGCGCACAGCCGCCGUGUCCGCGGUCUCCGUCGCCGCCGCGGUAUGCGGCGCUGGGCGGCGACUCGUACAUGUCGCGGUCUCGCCAUUGGGGGCCGAACGAUUCGCGGCUCCCGCCGACCCCGCCGGCGAGCGUGGCGUGCAACUCCUGGUGAACGGCACGCAGGUCACCGGUGGCACCAGCCUACAUCUUCUGGGGGUGACCUUCGACAGACUUCUACAUUUUAAAGACCACUGCGACUCUCUGCGGCGGAAGGUCCGGCCGCGGACGGCACAGCUGCGGAGGAUGACCGGCCGGACCUGGGGUCUCCGCGAGGCGCAGCUCAGGACAGUCGCGAACGGGUAUGUCCGGGGAGCCCUUGAAUACGCGGCGGGUGCCUGGCUCCCGGCCGCGUCCCCGUCACACGUUCAGCUGGUGGAGCGCGAGCUGCUGGCGGCCGCCCGGGUGGUGACCGGAUGCCCACGGUCCACCCCCAGGGAUCCCCUGCUGGCCGAGGCAGGCAUCCCUUCAGCAUGGUCCACCAGGAAGACGCUGGCCGCGCGAACGCUCUGCCGAGCGCUCGCCCUGCCGGAGGACGACCCUCUUCGCCGCGUCGCGGACGCCGACCCACCCACUCGACUGCGGUCUACCACCGGCUGGCGACAACUGGGGCGAUCGGCGCUGAUGGAGUGACGGUGGAGCCGCGCCUCGAGGUUCCCCUCCUCCCGUGGACAACCUGCCGCCCGAUCGCCUUCAAUCUGGACGUGGGACCCGGCGGUCGUCGAGCCUCCUCCAACGAGACGCGACGAGAGGCCGCGCGGCAGCACCUGGCGGCGCUCCCAGCCCAGGCCACGUGGAUUUGGUCCGACGGCUCUGCGGACGCUGGGGUCAGGCGAGGAGGGGGCGGCGCCGUAAUCUUUACCGCGUCGGGGGAGACUCUCGAGGUGGAGGUGGCGGCGGGAGGCCUCUGCUCCAGCACCCGUGCGGAGCUGUUCGCCCUGAGGGCGGCGCUGGAGCGGGUCCGGGAUGAGCCGUCCCCCGCCCCGCUGGUGGCGUGCUCUGACUCACGAGCCGCCCUGAGCCUCCUCAGCGCGGGAGCGGCCGCCCAGACCACCACUAUCGGCGCGGAGAUCUGGAGGACGCUGCUGGACAUUGCCGAGCGCCGGCAGGUGACCCUGCAGUGGGUCCCUGCUCACUGCGGGCUGGCGGAGAACGAGCGCGCUGACGCCCUGGCCAAACAAGCGGCCACCCUGCCCCAGGGCGCCGUGCCCUCGGACGCUCGGUCCCUGACACGGGCAGUUCAUCGGACGGCCACACGUCAGUGGCGCGAAAACUGGCCCGACUCCUUUUUUAAGACUAUCUUCGGGAGCACCCUGCCGCUCCCCAUCCCCGGAGAGGACCGAGAGGCCGCCAUCUCGGUGCACCAGUUGAGGGCGGGCCACUGGGGCCGCUCGCUCCAAUACCUGCACCGGAUCGGCCGCCACCCCUCCGUGGCAUGCCUGCAGUGCCCCGAUAAGCGGUGCCCCGCGGCGCUCUGCGCCGUGUGCCGGGAGGAGGCGGACGUGCCGGAGCACGUCUUGCUCCGCUGCCCGGCCCUCGCUGGCGCCCGCCUGCGGCUAACUGGCAGCAUUUACGUCGACCCGUCGCGGCUGCGGGACGCCGACCUGGUGGCUGCCUUGGAGGCCGGCUACCUUCGCCAUAGGGAGCCUCUCGGCUAUGGUCCUCCGUAAGGAGGUCCCAGGGGGAACAACAACAACAACAACAACCCCGCCGGCGACGAGUUUCCUCCGGCGAGUCCUGCGCCGUCUGGCGUGGUCGACGCUGCCCGGGAGGUUCCUGGCUGGCAAGCUGCUGCUGUGUCUACCGACGCACAGAGUUUUGUCGUGGCUGUGCUGUCCGCGGCCGUGCUCCACGGUUGCGACGUCUGCGGCCAAGCUGCCCGCUGCUGAGCUCCGCGGCCGAGCUGCCAGCGGCCGAGCUCUGCGGCCGUGCUCUGCGGUCGUGCUCUGCGGCCGUGCUUCCCGUGGCUGGGCCCUCCGUGGUCCCGUGAUCGUGGCCGCGGCGAGGGUGCCGCGACCUGCGCGGUGCCGUGCGCUGCAGUGAUGGCGCCGCGCACUGUGCAGUGAUUGUGCCGAGCGCUGCGUACGCGGUGGGUGCCGCGCGCCGCGCUGUUGAGCGUGCCGUAUUCGGACGGUGGCUGCCGCGCGCAGCGUGGUGAUUGCUGCGCUCUGCCAUGAGUGCCGCUCACUGCCGUGGCCUGAGUGCCGCGCUCGGACGGAGUGCCACGCGCCGUUGUGUUGCGUCGCCUUCUGCCUUUUGAUAUGUGCUAUCUCCGAAUUUAAUGUUGCUUGUUGCCGAUGUUCGCUUCUUUUCGUUAAGAGGGUCGGGUAUAGUCGGUCGAUUUAUUCGCACCGUUUGAUUUCGUACCGGCUUCUCGUCUGUUUCUUAUUGUUUUCUGCGAUGUCACUUGUCCGAUUUUAUAUCUGAUUAAUUCACGUAUUUAAGUAUUUAUUUUAUAUUGUCAUAAUAACUUACGGCGCUGUUCCUUUAUUUUCUGUUUAGUUGCAGCCCUAGUACCUUAAUUUCCGAUGUCUCUUCGGUUUGUUGUCGCUCGCAUGUUCAGAGAGUCCUGGUUGGCCGGCGCGAGCGGCGGUUGUGGAAUACAAGCUCGUCUGUGAA
rnacentral:misc_RNA from 1 species